AUUGAACGCUGGCGGCAGGCCUAACACAUGCAAGUCGAGCGGAUGAAGGGAGCUUGCUCCUGGAUUCAGCGGCGGACGGGUGAGUAAUGCCUAGGAAUCUGCCUGGUAGUGGGGGAUAACGUCCGGAAACGGGCGCUAAUACCGCAUACGUCCUGAGGGAGAAAGUGGGGGAUCUUCGGACCUCACGCUAUCAGAUGAGCCUAGGUCGGAUUAGCUAGUUGGUGGGGUAAAGGCCUACCAAGGCGACGAUCCGUAACUGGUCUGAGAGGAUGAUCAGUCACACUGGAACUGAGACAAGGUCCAGACUCCUACGGGAGGCAGCAGUGGGGAAUAUUGGACAAUGGGCGAAAGCCUGAUCCAGACAUGCCGCGUGUGUGAAGAAGGUCUUCGGAUUGUAAAGCACUUUAAGUUGGGAGGAAGGGCAGUAAGUUAAUACCUUGCUGUUUUGACGUUACCAACAGAAUAAGCACCGGCUAACUUCGUG
rnacentral:rRNA from 1 species